AUGUCCGCCGUGUCAUCCUCGUCCUCGGCCAUGCCGCCCCGUCCCACCCAGGCCACGCCUGCGCGCGUGGGGCUGGAGCUCGACCCUGACAUCGGCAGCACGGACGGGGGAGCGGAAGAGGCUGCCCGCUGUGAGGACGUCGUGCCGUGGGAGGUGGCCGUGUACCUCCUGGACCAUGACGAGUUCGCGAGCGUCGCGCCGACUGCGCUGAUCAAGAUAUCCCGCCUCGAGAUGGAGACAACCGUGGCAUCCAUCCAUCGCUUCGUGGCUCACCACUACGACGCCGGCGAGCUCGGCCCGUCUAGGUUUUUCGUGACCUCCGUACACCGCAUCAGAAUCCUCGACGUGUGCCUCCUCAAUAUCGACCGCCACACCGGCAACAUCCUCGUCAAGAAUCUACCCACCAGCGGCUGCGUCGCAGACGGCAGCACGUCGGCGCCGCUGGAGCUCGUGCCAUUCGACCACGGCCUCUGCCUCCCUGAGGAGCUCAACGACCUGUACUUUGAGUGCCGGUGA
rnacentral:rRNA from 1 species